rnacentral:lncRNA from 1 species
CCUCUUACCAUUGGCGACACAGACUCCGUUGCCGUUAGUCUGUUGAAAGCACCGCCGUCUGCACAAGGAAAGGUUGCAGCCGCCGGGCGCGAGAGUUGCCUGGCAUGUCGCCGCUUCAGCUUUCGGCACCAGUACUUGUACUGCCAAUGUUUGCAUACAGUGUUGGCAUUUCAACAAACACAUAGUGCUAUAUACCAUGAUACACAAACAUUACACCUAGAGCUCUUCUAUCCACCAAGUUGGGAUCUUAACACCACAAACAAGCAUUGUUCUCUUAUAAUAACAGAAAAUUCUAAGGAGAUAUGCAUGGUAAGGAUUUCAAGGGAACUGUUGGAGAAGUUUGGGCUAAUCAAGUUAAUAUAUUAAAAAAAAAAAAACCAAUUAGAGUAACAACUUUUUGAAAUUGUUAUUGAUGAAAAAAAAAAAGGCAUUGAAAUGGAGUGGUGGAAAAAAGGAGAGGUUGGGGAGUACCUGAAGAAUAGAUGAGGAGGAGGGAACAGAGAAGGGAAGCAGUGCAGGUUAGAG